GCGGCUAUGGUGAAGCGGUCAACACGGCGGAUUGUGGCUCCGUUAUUGCGUGGGUUCGAUCCCCACUAGUCGCCCCA
rnacentral:tRNA from 7 species